GUGAGGAAUAUUGGACAAUGGAUGGAAAUCUGAUCCAGCCAUGCCGCGUGCAGGAAGACGGCCCUAUGGGUUGUAAACUGCUUUUGUAUGGGAGCAAUAAGGGCUACGAGUAGCCUGAUGAGAGUACCAUACGAAUAAGGACCGGCUAACUCCGUGCCAGCAGCCGCGGUAAUACGGAGGGUCCGAGCGUUAUCCGGAUUUAUUGGGUUUAAAGGGUGCGUAGGCGGUUUUAUAAGUCAGCGGUGAAAUUUUCCGGCUCAACCGGGAUUCUGCCGUUGAUACUGUAAGGCUAGGAUAUGGUUGCUGUGAGUGGAAUGUGUGGUGUAGCGGUGAAAUGCUUAGAGAUCACACAGAAUAUCGAUUGCGAAGGCAGCUCACAAAGCCAUUAUUGACGCUGAGGCACGAAAGUGUGGGGAUCAAACAGGAUUAGAUACCCUUGUAGUCC
rnacentral:rRNA from 1 species